UACGAAGGGGGCUAGCGUUGCUCGGAAUGACUGGGCGUAAAGGGCGCGUAGGCGGUUUGUUUAGUCAGACGUGAAAUUCCUGGGCUUAACCUGGGGGCUGCGUUUGAUACGUGCAGACUUGAGUGAGGAAGAGGGUCGUGGAAUUCCCAGUGUAGAGGUGAAAUUCGUAGAUAUUGGGAAGAACACCGGUGGCGAAGGCGGCGACCUGGUCCUUUACUGACGCUGAGGCGCGAAAGCGUGGGGAGCAAACAGG
rnacentral:rRNA from 1 species